AGUGAAGGUCACCAUCUCAGCUGGCACAGCUGCUUCACUUGUUUUUGGGGCUGUGAUGUUUGACUAAAGUGGCUUCAUCCAGGGAAGACCAUCUACAAUUGGAGGAGAUUUUAAACAACUGCCAUCUUAUCCAAGUUGGCGUCCUCUGACAUGGAUGCAAGGUGUUGAAAGAAGUCUCCAGGAACCCUAGAAUUUUAACACAGGCCAUACAGAAACCUAAACUCUAAAAGAAGUUUACAGCACCUAAAGGAUGCUCAGAUCUGCAGAUCAUGCCAAGUUAAUGCUGGCUGCUGCUUGGUUUGUAUGGACAGAACUGAAUUCUACGUAACAUGAUUGCAUACCACCGGGGAUACUGAAAGACUGCAGCUGGCUUGACUUCUUGAAACAGUGAGCAAACUUCAAGCAUCCAUGUUAUCAUAUCUUCCAGGAUUUCAUGAUUUUUCAAUGAAGAAACUGAUCAUUUCUGUUUUUUAUGAAAAUUCGCUAGGAUGCUCAUUUUACUACCAAAAAAAUGGACCUAUCUGAGAAAAAGAGGAUGCAUGGUAACUCUGGGGGGACUUCAAGUCUACCUAUUAUUAAAUGAGAUAUAACCACUGUCAGUAUUUGUUAAUGUUAUCAAGAUGAUAUCUAAACACAACCCACGAUGAGAGAAAAUGAAAAAACAAAAGUGGUAAACUAGUAAGACAAUUAAAUUGUGAUUAAAAAUAGCAGAGAAGAAUAUGCUGUGUCUGCAGUUUUAGAUGAGAUCUCACUUUAGCUGGUAUAGAAUUUAUAUGUGCUGAUAACAGUUUCCUCCCAUCAACCCCUGCAGUCUGAUGGAAAUUUUAGUCCCAGCGUCAUCACUGCCUUUGGGGUUGUCCCCUCCAUUAAAGCCCCUCUCCCUGAUAUGCCAUAUAGGCUAUGUUUUAAGUUAGAUCAUACAUGCAAAAUUUUGUGCAAAGCUGUUCUGCCAUUUUUGCAAGAUUGUCAAACAAACAGAUUACGAUUUUAUUUAUAUAGAAUAGCACCUAAAUUUAGCUUGUACUUCUAGAAACGUAUACACUCAAUGACAUUAUGAGCUGUGAAACAAGGCUCCUUUUGGAAUAUAAACAUCCAUAGACAAAUCAGAAUGAAGAUUCACUGAUAAUCAAUCAUAAAAGCUUUUAUGUAAGUGAGAUCCUUUUGGUAUAUUCCAGUUACAGAUCAGGAGCUCAUAUUGAAUUGUAAUAUUAUUUAAGCUCAUUUUGUAUUUGAUGAUAAAACAGCCAGCUAUGACUUCCUGUUGCUUCUAUCUGCUCUGUCAUAAUUUUUUACCAUCUAAGUAGUGUCUUACUGAAAGCAUUUGAGCCAACCGUUCCUUGGACAUUUCUCCAAAUCAAUCCCUUGGUGCACCUGAAGAGUCAAGACCUCAUCAACAGACAAGAAACUCGCCUUCAAUCCCGUUGUGCCACAGAUUCUUGUUCUGACAAUGCUGAUAAUAUGCUCCUUGUUUUUAUGAAUGCUUGUUAAAUCAGCAUUAAAGCAACUCAGUGCUA